rnacentral:tRNA from 1 species
AGCAGCGUAGAGCAGUCCGGUAGCUCGUCAGGUUCAUACCCUGAAGGCCGGCGGUUCGAAUCCGCCCGCUGCAUCCA